rnacentral:rRNA from 1 species
AUUGAACGCUGGCGGCAGGCUUAACACAUGCAAGUCGAGCGGAGAUGAGGUGCCUGCACCUUAUCUUAGCGGCGGACGGGUGAGUAAUGCUUAGGAAUCUGCCUAUUAGUGGGGGACAACAUUCCGAAAGGAAUGCUAAUACCGCAUACGUCCUACGGGAGAAAGCAGGGGAUCUUCGGACAUUGCGCUAAUAGAUGAGCCUAAGUCAGAUUAGCUAGUUGGUGGGGUAAAGGCAUACCAAGGCGACGAUCUGUAGCGGGUCUGAGAGGAUGAUCCGGCACACUGGGACUGAGACACGGCCCAGACUCCUACGGGAGGCAGCAGUGGGGAAUAUUGGACAAUGGGGGGAACCCUGAUCCAGCCAUGCCGCGUGUGUGAAGAAGGCCUUAUGGUUGUAAAGCACUUUAAGCGAGGAGGAGGCUACUGAGACUAAUACUCUUGGAUAGUGGACGUUACUCGCAGAAUAAGCACCGGCUAACUCUGUGCCAGCCGCCGCCGUAAGAC